GCUGAGGUUGAAGAUGGCAUUCUUUUUGUGAGAAGACCGAGGCAAAGAAGGCAUUGAGCAGUUCUGCCUUUUCCCUGUCCCCUGUCGCCAUCACCCCAUCUUCUCCUUGCAGAGGCCCUAUCGCCUCCUUUUUCUUCCUUUUUCUACCAACGGUCUACAUGGACCACAUAAACUGGAGCUGAGUGGGGUACUUCCGUGAAUACUUUGAGUAAUUGUUCAAAGGCACGAACACCUCCUAAUUUUUAUAUUUGUCAUCUCCUGGUCUUC
rnacentral:lncRNA from 11 species